UCUGAAGGCACAGUGAUGAUGAUACUGAAGAUAUUUCACUGUUUGAUUUAGAAGGGAGGGCAGACAACUAAUAGACCAAAGAAAUUUAAACUCAGAGAUCCAGUGGCCUCACUUUUCCUUUAAUUAUUUCAAGUCAGUGCAAUCGCCACCUAUUUUCUCUAUGAACCGCCCAGCAGUUGCUUUCUUGCCUGUGUGGCCUGUGUGGUGACAAUGAUCUCGUUGUCAGGUGGCUUUUGGGCAGUGAAGAAUGUCACCGGUAGAGUAAUGAUUGGACUAUGUUGGUGGAAUCACAUUGAUGACAAUGGAAAGGGCCAUUGGGCAUUUGAGUCCUGGGAGACAUCCUCUUAAGAGAGUAAAACUGUCUUAGAGGCUGAAAGAAGAAUCUUCUGGUUGGGACUAAUGGCCUGUCCAGUGCUGUGAGUGAUAUGUGCUUUUAGUGCCUGAUUUGAUUUGGCUC
rnacentral:lncRNA from 1 species